CCUAAGGUAGCGAAAUUCCUUGUCAGGUAAGUUCUGACCCGCACGAAAGGCGUAAUGAUUUGGGCACUGUCUCGACAAUGUACCCGGCGAAAUUGUAGUACUAGUGAAGAUGCUAGUUACCUGCGACAAGACAGAAAGACCCCAUGGAGCUUUACUGCAGCUUGAUACUGGGUUUCGGUAAUUUAUGUACAGGAUAGGUGGGAGACUAUGAAGUUAGGGCGUCAGCCUUAAUGGAGUCACCGUUGGGAUACCACCCUUAAGUUACUGGAAUUCUAACUUGUGAUCAUGAACUGGUCAGAGGACAAUGUCAGGCGGGCAGUUUGACUGGGGCGGUCGCCUCCUAAAGAGUAACGGAGGCGCCCAAAGGUUUCCUCAGCGCGGACAGAAAUCGCGCGAAAGAGUGUAAAGGCAGAAGGAAGCUUAACUGAGAGACAGACAUGUCGACCAGAUACGAAAGUAGGGCUUAGUGAUCCGGCGGUAGUGAAUGGAAAUGCCGUCGCUCAACGGACAAAAGUUACCCUGGGGAUAACAGGCUUAUCUCCCCCAAGAGUUCACAUCGACGGGGAGGUUUGGCACCUCGAUGUCGGCUCAUCGCAUCCUGGAGCGGAAGUACGUUCCAAGGGUUGGGCUGUUCGCCCAUUAAAGCGGUACGCGAGCUGGGUUCAGAACGUCGUGAGACAGUUCGGUCCUUAUCUGUCGCAGGCGUAGGAUAUUUGAAGGGAGCUGUCCUUAGUACGAGAGGACCAGGAUGGAGAUACCGAUGGUGUAUCAGUUGUCAUACCAAUGGCAUGGCUGAGUAGCUAAGUAUCGAUGGGAUAAACGCUGAAAGCAUCUAAGUGUGAAGCCCACCCUAAGAUAAGAUAUCCCAUACCGUAAGGUAGUAAGAUUCCACGUAGACUAUGUGGUUGAUAGGUUGGAGGUGUAAGUACAGUAAUGUAUUGAGCUGACCAAUACUAAUAAAUCGAGGGCUUAACCAC
rnacentral:rRNA from 1 species